UUAAAUGUCCCUUCUGAGAGAAUUUUUGUCCACAAACUGAGCAUGAAAAAGGUUUCUCGCCAGUGUGGGUUCUUGUGUGAUGUUUUAAGGUUCCCUUCUGACUGAAUUUUUGGCCACAAACUGAGCAUGAAAAAGGUUUCUCACCAGUGUGGAUUCUUGUGUGAAUUGUUAGAGCUCCCUUCCCUGAAGAUAUUUGGCCACAA